rnacentral:rRNA from 1 species
UUGAACGCUGGCGGCAUGCCUUACACAUGCAAGUCGCACGGCAGCGCGGACUUCGGUCUGGCGGCGAGUGGCGAACGGGUGAGUAAUACAUCGGAACGUACCCUGUUGUGGGGGAUAACUAGUCGAAAGAUUAGCUAAUACCGCAUACGACCUGAGGGUGAAAGUGGGGGACCGCAAGGCCUCACGCAGCAGGAGCGGCCGAUGUCUGAUUAGCUAGUUGGUGGGGUAAAGGCCCACCAAGGCGACGAUCAGUAGCUAGUCUGAGAGGACGAUCAGCCACACUGGGACUGAGCCACGGCCCAGACUCCUACGGGAGGCAGCAGUGGGGAAUUUUGGACAAUGGUGGCAACCCUUAUCCAGCAAUGCCGCGUGUGUGAAGAAGGCCUUCGGGUUGUAAAGCACUUUUGUCCGGAAAGAAAUCGCGCUGGUUAAUACCUGGCGUGGAUGACGGUACCGGAAGAAUAAGCACCGGCUAACUACGUG